GCUUGGUGAAAAAGAGCAGAGUCACCCUCUUCCUGUGUGCUGGGAGGUCCAUAAUUGGCCAUAGUGACACAAUCAAUCUUGCUGUUCUAUGGGCUUGUCUCAUUACAGCUUUUUCCUAAGUGGGAAAAAAAGGAAGAAAGAAAAGAAAAGGAAAAAAAGACAGAGUACCCAGUGGAGCAGAAGUGAGAGGCCAUUUCAAAGCUCCUGCUGCUCAGGGCUCAGCAGUCAGAGAUCCUCUGAAGCACUCGUGAGAAACCCAGAGCAAGUGCCAUGGAACCAGGUGCUGAAGUCUGGCCAGCAGGAUACCCGUAGACUGUGGGGCUCCAAAGACUCAGUUGCCCCUUCCACACAGGUGACCUCCACCCCAGCGUCUUUUUGUGGCCCAGGCUGACUGCUGGACUUCCGGCCAUCAUGCAAGACUGA